rnacentral:rRNA from 1 species
GACGAACGCUGGCGGCGUGCUUAACACAUGCAAGUCGAACGGAAAGGCCCUGCUUUUGUGGGGUUCUCGAUUGGCGAACGGGUGAGUAACACGUGAGUAACCUGCCCUUGACUUUGGGAUAACUUCAGGAAACUGGGGCUAAUACCGGAUAUGAGCUCCUGCUGCAUGGUGGGGGUUGGAAAGUUUCGGCGGUUGGGGAUGGACUCGCGGCUUAUCAGCUUGUUGGUGGGGUAGUGGCUUACCAAGGCUUUGACGGGUAGCCGGCCUGAGAGGGUGACCGGCCACAUUGGGACUGAGAUACGGCCCAGACUCCUACGGGAGGCAGCAGUGGGGAAUAUUGCACAAUGGGCGGACGCCUGAUGCAGCAACGCCGCGUGCGGGAUGCCGGCCUUCGGGUUGUAAACCGCUUUCGCCUGUGACGAAGCGUGAGUGACGGUAAUGGGUAAAGAAGCACCGGCUAACUACGUG